UCCUGGAGUCCCUGGAUCGAGUCCCGCAUCGGGCUCCCUGCUCGGCAGGGAGUCUGCUUCUCCCUCUGACCCUCCCCCCUCUCAUGUGCUCUCUCUCAUUCUCUCUCUCUCAAAUAAAUAAAUAAAAUCUUAAAAAAAAUAUUUUAAAUGUCAUCAUUUUUACUGAAUGUAUAAUUCUAGGGUGGGAGUGGUUUUCUUUGAGCACACUGACAAUACCAUUGCAAUGUCUUCAAGCUUCCAUUGACUGAUGACUAAGCAGCAAUCUUAAGUGUUGUUCCUUAAAACUUUUUUCCUCUUGUCUUGGCUUUUCUGUGGCUUCACUGUGCAUGUAUAAAUGUGGAUUUAUUUUUAUUUGCUUUACUUUGGAGUUGUUGAACUUCUAGAAUCUGAGGGUGGGUUGGUGUCUUUCAUUAGUUCUGGGAACUUUUCCACCAUUUUCUCUUCAAAUACUACCUCUGGGACAUUCUUUUUCUCCUUUCUUUUUGGGACUCUCAUGAAACAUAUGAUGGAAUUUAUCUUUUUAUUUGACUAUAUCCUUAGCCUCUCUUCUGUAUUUUCCAUCUUCUUGUCUCUGUUGAAUUCUGAAUAAUUUUUCUGACCUCUCUUCCAAUUCACUAAUUUUCUUUAGUUGUAUCAAAUGUAAUUUCAACUUUCUUUUUUAGAAGCUGCUUUUGGUACUUUCUAAAAUCUAAGUCACUAUGUAGUUUCCUGUUAUUUGGAAACUUUCAACCUUGUAUUCUUAAAAUAGUAAGCAUCGUUAUUUUAUCAUCUAUAUCUGAUAGUUCCAGUAUCUCAAAACCUUUUGGAGGAGGGGAUUUUUCUAUUUGUUCCCAUUUGUGGUAUCUUAUUUCCUUGUAUGCCAAUUAUCUUUGUUUAGUGAUUAUGCCAUUUGGAGAAGUAUUUGUAGGAAUAAUUUAAGGGCUUCUGUGAAUGUGUCUUCCUCCUUUCUCAGAUGUCUGGGGACACUACCAGUAUGGGAUCCUCUGAUUAAAAUUGUUGGCUUGCAAUUCCCUGGACUACUCGAGAGUCAUGAACACAGGAUGUUUACUUCCGGGUCACCCUUAUUUCAUAUAUAUAGCCCUUUGCAGUCCCAGCUUAAUGAAUGUGUUGGGUUAUCAGACUGCCUUGGCCAGUCUUUGACUUCUGUCCCCUUCACUUUGCAAAUUUGCCAAAACCACAACUCAGUCUCUCAGUUGUUUGUUUUGGCUCUAGAAAUCACCACAGAGUGGGCCCUUGCACAAAGAUGCCCAGCUAAGCAGGGUAAGUGGGAUCAAAAAUAUAACCCCACCCUAUGUCACAAGCCAUGUGCUGGAGGAAGAAGGGCUUUUAAAAAUUAUCUGGCCACAGGGAACACUUUUUGUAACUACCUGGGCAGAGGGGCUGCCAGAUAUGCCAGUGGCAUCCUUGCCUCAAGCAAAAGUAGCUCCAACUGCUGGUUUCCUCUCUGGUUUCUUGCCUUUUCCUACAUUUUUGUCAAUAAUUUUUUUGCUAGGGGCGCCUGGGUGGCUCAGUCGGUUAAGCGUCUGCCUUCGGCUCGUCAUGAUCCCAGGGUCCUGGAAUCGAGCCUCACAUCAGGCUCCCUGCUCGGCGGGAAGCCUGCUUCUCCCUUUCCCACUCCGCCUGCUUGUGUUCCCUCUCUCACUGUCUCUCUCUCUGUCAAAUAAAUAAAUAAAAUCUUUAAAAAAUAAUAAUAAUACUUUUUUGCUAGCACUUUGAUCAGUUAAAAACCUUUCAUCCAGACUUGGUUGUCCUCAAUGGGAGGUGGUUCCAAAGUAUCUAGCCUGCUACUGAAACAGAAGUUUAUAGUUAAUUUUUUUAACUUUGUAAAUGUUUCUAUUUGGGGGUAAUCUUAUUUACAGAGCAAAAAUCUACAAGAACAGAAUUACUAUUCAAGAGUCAUUUUUUUUUAUUAGUUUCAGAGGUAGAAUUUAGCGAUUCAUCAGUUGCAUAUAAACCCGGUGCUCAUUACAUCAAGUGCCCUCCUUAAUGCCCAUCACCCAGUUAUCCCUCCCCCCUUCCGACCCAACUUCCCUCCAGUACCCCUCAGUUUGCUUCCUAGAGUUCAGUGUCUCUCAUGGUUUGCCUUCCUCUCAAUUUUCAUCUUAUUUUAUUUUUCCUUCCCUUCCCCCAUGUUCAUCUGUUUUGUUUCUUAUUUCCACAUAUGACUGAAAUCAUAUGGUAUUUGUCUUUCUCUGACUGACUUAUUUUGCUCAGCAUAGUACCCUGUAGUUGCAUCCACGUCAUUGCAAAUGGCAAGGUUUCAUUCUUUUUGAUGGCUGAGUAGUAUUCCAUUGUAUAAAUAUACCCCAUCUUCUUUAUCCAUUCAUCUGUCAAUGGACACCUGGGCCUUUCCAUACUUUGAUUAUUGUGGACAUUGCUGCUAUAACCACUGGGGAGCAUGUGCCCCUUCAAAUCACUAUGCUGGUAUCCUUUGGAUAAAUACCCACUAGUGCAAUUGCUGGGUCAUAGGGUAGCUCUAUUUUCAACUUUUUGAGGAACCUCCAUACUGUUUUUCAGAGUGGCUGCACCAGUUUGCAUUCCCACCAACACUGCAAGAGGAUUCCCCUUUCUCUGCAUUCCUUGCCAAUACCUGUUGUUUCCUGAGUUGUUAAUUUUAGCCAUUCUGACCAGUGUGAGGUGGUAUCUCAUUGUGGUUUUGAUUUGUAUUUCCUUGAUGCCAAGUGAUGUUGAGCAUCUUUUCAUGUGUCUGUUGGCCGUUUGUAUGUUUUCUCUGAAGAUAUACCUGUUCGUGUCUUCUGCCCAUUUCUUGACUGGAUUUUUUGUUUUUGGGGUGUUGAGUUUGAUAAGUUCUUUAUAAAUUUUGGAUACUAGCCCUUUAUCUGAUAAGACAUUUGCAAAUACCUUCUCCCAUUAUGUCGGUUAUCUUUUGGUUUUUGUUGACGUUUCCUUUGCUGUGCAAAAGCUUUUUAUCUUGAUGAAGUCCCAAUAUUUAAGAUUCCCUUUUCACUGAUAUUUUAACUUAUCUUUGUUCUUCUACGAUAUACUCUAGUUUAUGUAUGUUGCAAUAACUUGACUAAUAGUGGCUAUGAUUUGAAUUUUGACUUCUAUAGAGCUUCCUUUUUAGAAUAGUGUAUCAAAAUAACAUACUCAUAAAAAUUCAGCAUUACAGAAAAAUAUAAAAAGCUAAAAAUUCACCCAAAAUCUACCCAGAAAUAAUUAUCAUUAACAUUAUUUAUCAUUCUAGAAAUGUUUCUGUGUAAUAUACAGUAACAUAUCAGAUGAUUAAUAUUUAACAUCACACUAUAUGUCAUCGUAUAAUAGUAAUAAACUUAAUUUAUCUGAAAUUAACCUAAGAGGAUCAAACUACAAGAAUUGAUUAAUAAUAUUCCCUGAGUUCCUUAGGCUUGAGCACGUUGCUCCAUUACCUCUGUAGCCAUUUCAGGGGGCAAUUUAGCUGAAUACAUUCUUCCUUUCCAACCUUACUGUUUUUUUAACACAGGGGGUUUUUGUUUUUGGAUAUUUGCUUGCAUUUUAAAGUGCAGUAUUUUCAUCCUUUUCUUCUUAGUAAACCUGGAUUUAACCAAUAAGCAAAUUUAUCGGAAGGGGCAAAUGGGUCCCUAUUGCCUGAGUUUAUACUGGCAAUGUCAGUCUUUUGCCUUUAUAGCUGAAUGAUGACUUUUUAUCUAUUCUAAUUAUUUUCCUUCUGUAUCUAUUGUGGUUGUGCAUCCAUUAAGCCAUCACUCUGUUGAGAGGAUUUUCAUCUAUGUCUUUAUUCUUUAACAUGGUCUCUACUUUAUGCUGUAAUUGUACUGAUUUGGUUUUCAUUUUAUUUCCAUGAGAAAUACUGAAAUCAGCUUGAAAGUCCUAGACUAUUUGCUGUUGUGACUUUGUCAGUUUUUAAAAUUAAUGAUGUGUGAAAUGUUUUAUGAAGCUAUUGCAACAAACAUGCAUAGAUUUUAAAAUCAAAACUCGGUCUAACCUUUGCUCUCAAUAGUUUUGAGACUUUGCACCAGUUUUACGAUUUUUUUAAUGCUCAGUUUCCUAUCUCUAAAAUAUGCCUAAUAAAGCUAUUUUGUGUUUUGUAUUUAUAUAUAUAUGUAUAAAAUACAUCCAAAAGUGAUACACCCAAAAGUCUAGUUACCAUCCAUCACCCUACAAUUUACCCCUUUCAUCCACCCACCCCUCAACACACUUCUCUGGAAACUACCAACUGUUCUCUGUAUCUGAGUUUGUUUUCAGUUUUUGUUUUUUUAGAUUUCACAUAUGAGUGAAAUCAUAAGGUAUUUGUCUUUCUUCUUCUGACUUAUUUCACUUAGUAUAAUACCCACUGGGUCCAUCCAUGGUGUUGCAAAUGGCAAGGUUUCAUUCUUUUUUAUGGCUGAGUAGUAUUCUAGUGUGUGUAUGUGUGUAUAUACACAUCUGCUUUAUCUAAUCUUCUGUCAGUGGACACUGGUUGCUUCCAUAUGUUGGCUAUUGUAAAUAAUGCUGCAAGAAACAUAAAGGUACAUACAUCUUUUUGAACUAGUAUUAUCUCAUUCUUCAGAUAAAUACCAAGUAGUGGAUGAGCUGGACUAUAUGUUAGUUCAAUUCUUAAUUUUUUGAGGAAUCUCCAUACUAUUUUCCAUAGUGGUUGCACCAAUUUACAAUCCUACCAACAGUGUACAAGUGUUCCUUUUCUUCCACAUCCUCUCCAACACCUGUUAUAUCUUAUCUUUUUUUUAGGUUUAUUUAAAUAAUCUCCCAACCCAACAUGGGGCUUAAACUCACAACCCCAAGGUCAAGAGAUGCAUACUUUUCUGACUGAGCCAGCCAGGUGUCCCAUCUUUUUGAUAAUAGCCAUUCCUGCAGGUAUGAGGUGAUAAUCUCAUUGUGAUUUUGACUUGCAUUUCCCUAAUAAUUAGUCAUGUUGAACAUUUUUUCAUAUGCCUGUUGUCCAUCUGUAUGUCUUCUUUGGAAAAAUGUCUAUUCAGAUCCUCUGCCCAUUUUUCUGUUGGUUUGUUUUGUUCUUAAGAUGUAUCAGAUCUUUAUUUGUUUUGAAUGUUAACCCCUAUCAGAUGUAUGACUGCAGUUAACGUCUCCCACUCAGUAGGUUGCCUGUUCAUUUUUAUGAUGAUUUCCUUCACUGUGCAGAAGCCUUUUAGAUUGAUGUGGUCCCAUUUGUUUAUUUUUGCUUCUGUUUCCUUUGAUUUUGGAGUCUGACCCACAAAAGCACUGCUAAGACCAGUGUCAAGGAGGUUACCAUCUAUGUUUUCUUCUAGGAAGUCUAUGCUUUCAAGUCUUAUAUUCAAGUGUUUAAUCCAUUUUAGUUAAUUUUUGUGUAUGGCCUAAGGUAGUAGUCAAGUCUCAUUCUUUUGUAUGUGGCUGACCAGUUUUCCAAAACUUCUUUAUUGAAGAGACUGUCCUUUCUCCAUUGUAUAUUCUUGGCUCCUUUGUUGUAAAUUAACUGUCCAUAUAUGUGUGGGUCUAUUUCUGGUCUCAAUUCUGUUCCAUUGAUCUGUUUGUGCUCACACCAUACUGUUUUGAAUACUGUAGCUUUGUAAUAUAGUUUGAAAACAGGAAGUAUAAUACCUCCAGCUUUGUUCUUUCUCAAGAUUGCUUUGGUUGGUCAGGAUCUUUUGUGGUUCCUACAAAUUUUAUAAUUUCUUUUUUCUAGUUCUGGGAAAUAUGCCAUUGGAAUUUUGAUAGGGAUUGGAUUAAAUCUACCUCAUAUUCUUAUGUAAAGCAACACUUGGUACACAGGAACUCGCUUGAAGGAUUCCCCUGGACAUUUCAUAUAAGACUGGUCUAGUGGUGAUGAACUCCUUCAGCUUUUGCUUGUCUGGAAAACUCUCUUCUUCAGUCCUGAAGAACUUUGCCAGAGAAAGACACAGCGAGAGAGGGAACACAAACGGGGAGGGAGAAGCAGACUCCCUGCCGAGCAGGGAGCCCGAUGCGGGACUCGAUCCCGGGACUCCAGGAUCAUGACCUGAGCCGAAGGCAGUCGCUUAACCAACUGAGCCACCCAGGUGCCCCUGUAUUCCUCUGUUUAAUCAUUCUUCUCAACACUCUGUUGAUUUCUGUGCAUUAUGUAUAACAGCCACUUCUUCCAGUCUUGACAGAGUGGUCUUAUUUAGAUGAAACUUGUCAUUGAGUCUGCUGAGUUCUUGGUUCUCUCUCAAACCUUUGUGACUAUCCAAGCCGCCUUCUUUGUUCUUAGUGUCUGCCACCAGUUGAGGGUCUGCCAAAACCUGUCACUGUUCCAAAUGGGAGGAGGAUCUGUACCUAGAAGCAGGCGGAUUGGAAGCUGGACUUUUAAAAUUUUAUUUUUAAGCAAUCUCUACACCCAAUGUGGGGCUAGAACUCAUGACCCCGAGAUCAAGAGUCACAUGCUCUACCGACUGAGCCAGGCACUACAUGAUUUCCUAUUUCUCAAAUGCUCAAGGUCAAUUGAUGCAACUUUUAAAUGAGCAUGAAAGAAAGGUACACAUUAUUUAGCUAAAAAGAAUCUUGAUACUGUUAGUAUAUAUAAUGGCUUAGAAUAGUUUUAUAUCAUAUUCUGAUCAAUAAUGGAUUAGAUACUUUAUCCUUAUCUGGGAAAAAAUACAAGUAUAGGUAGCUACAGUCUGGAAAGAAUUACUAUAGGCUAUAGUUCUUUUAAAAAAAGAAGUAUUUGUUCUCAGCAAUAUGAAAAACUUAUAAGGAACUGACCCAUGGAUGACAACAGGUCUGACAAAGUUAACAUGAGACAAAGGUUUACACGGAUAUACAUUUUUUUUUUUUUUAAUUUACAGCACAUGGAAACCCAGAACAAAGAGUUUUUAUAUUCUAGUUCAGUCUCCUAUCUAGGUACUUUCUGAAUGGUAUUUUUGUGAUGAUUGUUCUCCCUUUAGAAACCAUUGGUGUUCCUCCUAGCGUGAGCUGGAGACCAUCAUAGAUGACAAAAGGCAUUUUCUAUCCCUAGCAGCUUGUUCCCUGCACCAGGGACAACACUGCAAAACAUAAGCUGGCACACAUGGAAUUUC